rnacentral:rRNA from 1 species
AGCGAACGCUGGCGGCAGGCUUAACACAUGCAAGUCGAACGGACCCUUCGGGGUUAGUGGCGGACGGGUGAGUAACACGUGGGAACGUGCCCUUUGGUUCGGAACAACUUAGGGAAACUUGAGCUAAUACCGGAUGUGCCCUUCGGGGGAAAGAUUUAUCGCCAUUGGAGCGGCCCGCGUCUGAUUAGCUAGUUGGUGAGGUAAAGGCUCACCAAGGCAACGAUCAGUAGCUGGUCUGAGAGGAUGAUCAGCCACAUUGGGACUGAGACACGGCCCAAACUCCUACGGGAGGCAGCAGUGGGGAAUCUUGCGCAAUGGGCGAAAGCCUGACGCAGCCAUGCCGCGUGAAUGAUGAAGGUCUUAGGAUUGUAAAAUUCUUUCACCGGGGACGAUAAUGACGGUACCCGGAGAAGAAGCCCCGGCUAACUUCGUGCCAGCAGCCGCGGUAAUACGAAGGGGGCUAGCGUUGCUCGGAAUUACUGGGCGUAAAGGGAGCGUAGGCGGACAGUUAAGUUAGAGGUGAGAGCCCAGGGCUCAACCUUGGAAUUGCCUUUGAUACUGGCUGUCUUGAGUAUGGGAGAGG